AGAGUUUGAUCAUGGCUCAGAGCGAACGUUAGCGGCGGGCCUAACACAUGCAAGUCGAACGAGAAAAUCCCUUCGGGGGUGAGUACAGUGGCGCACGGGUGAGGAACGCGUAGGUAAUCUACCCUCUGGCGGGGGACAACAUUCCGAAAGGAAUGCUAAUACCGCGUAAGACCACACUCACCACGGUGAGAGCGGUUAAAGGUGGCCUCUUCUUGAAAGCUACCACCAGAGGAUGAGCCUGCGUCCCAUCAGCUUGUUGGUAAGGUAAUGGCUUACCAAGGCUAAGACGGGUAGCUGGUCUGAGAGGAUGAUCAGCCACACUGGCACUGGAACACGGGCCAGACUCCUACGGGAGGCAGCAGUGGGGAAUAUUGCACAAUGGGGGAAACCCUGAUGCAGCGACGCCGCGUGAAGGAUGAAGGAUUUCGGUUCGUAAACUUCUAUCAGCAGGGAAGAUAGUGACUGUACCUGACUAAGAAGCCCCGGCUAACUACGUGCCAGCAGCCGCGGUAAUACGUAGGGGGCAAGCGUUAUCCGGAAUUACUGGGUGUAAAGGGUGCGUAGGUGGCUUAUUAAGCCAGAUGUGAAAGCCCGGGGCUCAACCCCGGGACUGCAUUUGGAACUGGUAAGCUAGAAUACAGGAGAGGUAAGUGGAAUUCCUAGUGUAGCGGUGAAAUGCGUAGAUAUUAGGAGGAACACCAGUGGCGAAGGC
rnacentral:rRNA from 1 species